rnacentral:lncRNA from 10 species
UAAAAACAAAAAAGGCCAGGUAAAGAGGAGUAUUUUUGCUUCACCUGAGAGUGUGACUGGUAAAGUUGGAGUAGGAACCUGUGGAAUUGCUGAUAAACCUAUGACACAAUAUCAAGAUACCUCUAAAUACAAUGUCAGGCAUUUGAUGCCUCAAUAAUCAGAAAAACUGUUGGAUUUCAUCUCUGCAGGGCUUUACAUUUACCUUUUUAUCCUUAUAUUUUUCUAAAGGUAAAUUAUUUGUUAGAUGAGUAAGCAAGAUACCAUUGUCGUCAUUGGUUGGCUUCAGUAGAAUGAAACGUGAAGAAAUUGCAUUUGAUAACUGCUAUUCAUUUAACUUUUCUCAUUAUCAGUACCACGGUUCCCUCAAAGUUUGUUGAAUAAAGCAACUUUUGUAGAUGCUGUUUCAUACAGCACUUAGAUGAAUUAUUGAUCUUCCUAAUAUCAGGCGCCUACUUAACCUAUGGUGUGUACUUUUUGUAAGUUGUAACUUGAAAUUUUCAGAUGCUUUGAACUUGACACAUACUCUAGCAAUUCAUUGGAACACCAAGGCAAAAACACCAACCUGCUAAAAGAGAUCUUUUCAUUUUUCUUAUUUUCAGCUUUAAAACUUAGCUGUCGUUCAGUUAAGCUUAAAGAUAGGUUAAUUUGUAAAUGGCAAAGUUUGUUUUGAGGUUUUUCCUCAAUAACUUGUUUCCCAGGCCUAUUAGGCCAUCUCUAAAAUUGAUCUAGCUGUUUUAUUUUUAUGUACUCUUAGUUUUAUGUAAGAAACCUUAGGAUGAGCUCCCUUUUCUAAGGUGUUUUUGUUUUUUGUAUGUUUGCUUUUUUCCUGUUUUUUGUUUUUUCCAUUUACGGCAGUGGUACCAUGUUUUGGAUGUGUGAUGUUUAUAUGGGAGAACAAAAAGCUGAUGUAUAGCCCUGUAUACAGUGUAGAUACUAUUUUUGUAAAAACACAAGGCUAAAUUAAUGAACAAGAAUACUGAAUAUUUCAUCAUUAAAAAUUUCUUGUAUUUCUUGUGCAUUAAUCUGACGAUAAUUUCCCUGUAUAUUAUGUUCAUUUAGCUGUUUGUAAUUUUUGUUAAUUAGAUCAGGUUGUCUGCAUUUGUUGGUGUAAGUGAACAUCAUCACAGUUAUCCUGAGUUGAGUUUAAGCCAAAUACAUGCAUAGAAAAGGGUCUUCCUAUUAAUGGAAGAAGGUAAUUUUUAGGAUGUGUAUUAUUUCAGUUUUGUAUGUUUAACUUUUAUUAAAUAAAGUGUUUUUAAAAUCUC